AUGUGUUUUGCACAUAGUGUUUCACUAUGUGUGAACCCCAUUAUUUUUGAAUCGCCUGUGAAAGUAUGGAUUAAGAAAGCCAUGACUUAAUGUGAUGGAUAAGCCUGUUCUUCAGGAAAGAAAGAGGGAAUGGAGCAAAUAAGUCUUUUGAACAGUGGGUGACCUUUCAUGCAAACCAGGCCAAUGAGCUUCAUGAGAAGCAUAAACUAAUUAUGCCCUCCAAAGGGAAGAAUAGAAAUAAAUGAUGUUAUAUGGAUUGCCUGUUCUCAUAUAACUGUUCAUAAUCCUCUGCAUUUAGAUGCAAACAUAAAUAUGGUACAAAUACUCUUUCAUCAUGAAGAGAGGCAUUUGAAGACAAGAUGUACCUUCCAUAAACAAAACAAUUAGUAAACUAUUCUGGAAAUUUAGCUUCAUCUGUGCUUAUUAAAUUCAUAAAGCAUC